rnacentral:rRNA from 1 species
UACGAAGGGGGCUAGCGUUGCUCGGAAUCACUGGGCGUAAAGCGCACGUAGGCGGAUUGCUAAGUCAGGGGUGAAAUCCUGGAGCUCAACUCCAGAACUGCCUUUGAUACUGGCGACCUUGAGUCCGGGAGAGGUGAGUGGAACUGCGAGUGUAGAGGUGAAAUUCGUAGAUAUUCGCAAGAACACCAGUGGCGAAGGCGGCUCACUGGACCGGUACUGACGCUGAGGUGCGAAAGCGUGGGGAGCAAACAGG